rnacentral:rRNA from 1 species
UACGUAGGGUGCGAGCGUUAAUCGGAAUUACUGGGCGUAAAGCGUGCGCAGGCGGUUUUGUAAGACAGGUGUGAAAUCCCCGGGCUUAACCUGGGAACUGCAUUUGUGACUGCAUCGCUGGAGUGCGGCAGAGAGGGAUGGAAUUCCGCGUGUAGCAGUGAAAUGCGUAGAUAUGCGGAGGAACACCGAUGGCGAAGGCAAUCCCCUGGGCCUGCACUGACGCUCAUGCACGAAAGCGUGGGGAGCAAACAGG